rnacentral:piRNA from 1 species
GAGAACGUUUCGUAUGAUAUAGGUCCAUA